UACGUAGGUGGCAAGCGUUAUCCGGAAUUAUUGGGCGUAAAGCGCGCGCAGGCGGUUUCUUAAGUCUGAUGUGAAAGCCCACGGCUCAACCGUGGAGGGUCAUUGGAAACUGGGAAACUUGAGUGCAGAAGAGAAGAGUGGAAUUCCACGUGUAGCAGUGAAAUGCGUAGAUAUGUGGAGGAACACCGAUGGCGAAGGCAGCCCCCUGGGUCAAAACUGACGCUCAUGCACGAAAGCGUGGGGAGCAAACAGG
rnacentral:rRNA from 1 species